rnacentral:tRNA from 1 species
UUUGGCUGCAGCUCAGGGGUAGAGCAAUUGUCUGGCAUGUGCAAGGCCCUGGGUUCAACUCCCAGCACAAAA